UAUGUGGAACCCACUAAGGUGCAUAUAAGUAAAGAGAUUAUCUAAGGUCAUACUCAAAGGAAAGAGUCAAGAUAAAGUAAAUCACGUCUACAGCAGUUGUACUUUACCAAGAUUUUCAAGAUCUUUUCUUGUUACA